rnacentral:lncRNA from 1 species
CCAGGAAUUAGGAGGAUAUACAUAAUUAACAAUUUAAUUAAGUCAUAAAAUUCCAGAUUGACUAUUACUAUGAUUUAUAGUAAUGUAAUUGAAUCACUAUCUUAGAUCAAUGCCAAAAGGGAUAGCAGUAAGUAAAUUAAUCAUGAGGCAUUAUCACCCCCAGUGGACAGAGCAGUGGGUGAUAAUCGGAGGCAUCUGUCUAAAACUGUCCAUGCAAACAGACAGAAAGUGGCUCUGGCAAAAAUCAUAUCCAUAUAUCCUCAGACAUGGCAAAAGUCAUGGGACACAAUAUAUACUAGUUCCUAACCAAUGAUCACCAUUACUAAGCUGUUCAUGAUACAUUACUGUAUAAUUUCACUGUUUAUUUUGUUGCACUUUCCCGUAUCUCAUCCUCAUUGGUCACAUUUAGUUCCUAGAGGAGAGCAAGGCCUCCCUGGUCUACCAGGCUUUCCCGGCAAUGAUGGACCUCAAGGACCAAAAGGAGAAAGAGGAGAUGCUGCCUACAUGAGCCUCAAAAGAAAGAGAAGAAGCCGGGGGUUUAAGAGUAAUUAAUUCAUAUGGAUACAGAAGAAGAGAGGAACUCAUGGUGCAGCUGGCAAUAAAAACCUUUUUUAAUGUUUUAUAAAAAUCCCAAGAAUGAUCUGUAAACAUAUGAUCUGUAAACUGUGUUUUUAUGAAAAGUUAUUGUACAAUCUUUUAAAUGUGAACAAAAAUAAUUAAUCUGAGGUUAAAUUGUCUUUCUUUAAACACGUUGAACACAGCCUGACACAGAGAUAUUCAACUUACAGCUCUGGAAAAAAAUAAGAGACCACUUCAGUUUCUGAAUCAGUUUAUCUGAUUUUGCUAUUUUAUAGGUUUAUGUUUGAGUAAAAUGAACAUUGUUGUUUUAUUCUAUAAACUACAGACAACAUUUCUCCCAAAAUGUAUUUGCAUAAAAUGAGAAAUGGCUGAAAUAACAAAAAAGAUGCAGAGCUUUCAGACCUCAAAUAAUGCAAAAAAAAAAACAAACAAGU